AAGAAGAAAGCUUAUUACCAGCAAUAUGGUUUCGGCCCAUAAAAUGAAUUUAAAAAUUCUCUUCUUU
rnacentral:tRNA from 1 species